rnacentral:lncRNA from 1 species
GAACUUACUGAAAUAAAACCAACAGAAUCGUCAAUGAAACACCGAUCUGGCCUUAAGGUGACCUCAAACAACGCGUCCUCGGAAACAAUGACAUGUCCCUAUCUCUGGGCCGCUGAUCCUGGAGGGGAGAGGCACAUUUGGGGGAGGGGGCUGGGAAAAGAGGAAAGUUCCUGGAGGUGGACUCUAGUGUGGGACUUGAGAACUCUUCUUUUGCCAAUUUCGGAGAAAACGUGAUUUAAUGUUUGCUGUUAAUAAUAAUAAUAAUAAUAAAGACAGAAAAAAUGAGUUGGGGUCAGGGGAGAUGCAAGAUCUGCCUGAAGCGGGGUCGGGGCUUGGCCAUUUUCUGCGCCUGUCGCUUUAUGGCCUCUCCUCCUGCGGCCCAGGCCAGCGGCUCUCAGGGAGUGAGCGGAGGUGAUUGGCGGCUCACUCGGCCCUGCCAUUGAUGACUGCGGGGUUCUAAUCUCCAGGAAACACAAGGGGCUGCCGUGGCCAUUUAGGGGCCGCCGAGAUAUGCUGAGGCCUGGGGAAGUUCGGGAAUACCGGCAUCUGAAUUUUACGCACAUCUCCAGGUUUCUAAAGGACCCAAGACUGCAACUCAGGCACUGGGCAGUGGUUGGGGCUUCUAGCUCGAGUUGGGCCGGCUGGACGCGCGGUGCACCGGGGCCUCCGGAGGUUUGCCCGAGAGGGUACAAGGAUAGAAGACCUUAAGACCCAAUUUUGAAGCUCAGCUCGCUGAGGCUGAGCAAGGCUGUAGGGCAAAUACCUUGCUGGUAGCCCAGCCAGGACAGCGAACAACAGCAUCUUCCUCUUCUUCCUCUUCUUCUUCUUCUUCCUCUUCCUCUUUUUCUUCCUCUUUUCUCCUCCUCCUCAUCCUCCUCUUCCUCCUCUCCUCCUCAUCUCCUCCUCCUCCUCCUCCUUCUUCUUCCUCUUCCUCUUCUUUGAGACGGAGUUUUGCUCUUGUCGCCCAGGCUGGAGUGCAAUGGCGCGAUCUCAGUUCACUCCAACCUCCGCCUCCCAGGUUCAAGCGAUUCCAGGACGGCGAACUUCUAUUGCUCCCGUUCUAAUCAAACUCUCGUCAGAACAACCCCCUCCGCACCCAGCCAGAAUCUCCCUUUGUGGCCAGGUUAAAGGGGGAGAGGAAACAGAGGCCUAUCUGCUUUUGGGGCCAUUUAAAAAGCGAGCAGUGUGCCUUUUCGAGUCUUUGCUUAGUUCCGCCCUCGCCCUCCUUCUGCAAAUGUUUUGCUCCCAGGUCUCUUUAAGAAUCUGAUACAGCCAAGAACUUCUUCCCUAGAAAAAUGCACACCUACAAAAACACAUUACAAGCAACGGGGCAGACAACUUCGGGGGCUCUGGUCCCAAGUGGAGUCCUCCAGUUCGGCCUGGGUUCGUGUCUGCUGUCGCCCCGCGCGGCAGGUUAACCGCGUGUAAACGUUGCUAGGCGAGAAGAGUGCAUCGGCAGAGAAGGGGGUUCAGACUCAAUUCCGUGUCAGAAAAGCGCGGGGCUUUCCCAUUGCUCUGCCCCUGGAUUGCGAGAGAAAGAAAGGUGCCGGCAGUCUCAAGAGAAAGGAGUCAGAUAAAAGAAAUAAAAUGUCUGCCUGUUUCCCAGGGCGUUGUUUGUUCCCGCGGGAGGAAAGCCACGAGUUACAGGGGCAGUGAGAGGGAGACUUCUCUGAGUUAUUUUUUGUCUAGGACUUUACCGAUUUCCCGGCCCAGGGGUUCAGCGAGCAGGCAGGCCCUGGGGCUGAGCCUGUUAUCUCGCCGCCAGCUCUAACCUCGAGGCGUUUGUACCCCCGGCAUUUCUCUGCGCUGCCGCUGCAGCCGAGAAAGCCGGGCAGUAAUUCAUGCCUGGCAAGGGCAGGGCUGGCCCCAGCAGAUAAAGCUCGGGGACUGGCGCUCCGCUUCCAUCCUCUAGACUUCUCUCCCCUCCCCUCUCGCUCCAUCUCCCCUCAUUUUCAGGCAUCCUAAAGCACUCCCCGCCCCCAAGUAGAGGGCCUCUGCAUUUCGGAUCCUGAAGAUGGAUUAUCCUUCGUCUACUUUCUGGGCAACUAAACUGGUGGUGGGUUUAGCUGGUUUUUUUUUUCCCCCAAAAUUUUGCGGGGGUUGGGGGGAUGGAGGCAGGGAUGGUGGUGUUGCUAAGUAUACACCACUCCCGUGCAAAGAUUAAUUUUUAGAAGGACCCCGUCCUAAAGACGGUUAUCCCUAUCUGGGUAUUGCUGCACCGGUUGGAAGAGCCUGGAGGCUGACUUCUCACUUCGGCAUUUGUUGUCGCCUCCGUCGGGUUUUUGUUUAUGCUCCCUCCCUCUCUUUCCACUGCAUUUUGUGACCUCGGCCCAGGAAUCCCGCGUGCAUUUUUUAAAAAUGUGCAGCUCAGUGGGAUCCCCCGGCAAUUAGCGAGCCCCAAACAGUCCUCUUUAAUAGAAUGAAUGUGCUAUGAAAACCGAUUACCC